UACGUAGGUGGCAAGCGUUGUCCGGAUUUACUGGGCGUAAAGAGCGCGCAGGCGGUCGAUUAAGUCGAAUGUGAAAGCCCCCGGCUCAACUGGGGAGGGUCAUUCGAUACUGAUCGACUUGAAGGCAGGAGAGAGAAGUGGAAUUCCCGGUGUAGUGGUGAAAUGCGUAGAUAUCGGGAGGAACACCAGUGGCGAAGGCGACUUCUUGGCCUGUUCUUGACGCUGAGGCGCGGAAAGCUGGGGGAGCAAACGGG
rnacentral:rRNA from 1 species